rnacentral:tRNA from 1 species
UGGGAGAUAGUUUAAUUGGCAAAACAGCGGACUCUGGAUCCGUCGUUCCUGGUUCGAGUCCAGGUCUCCCAG